UGAAAGAUGGUUUCGGCUAUCACUUACGGAUGAGCCCGCGGCGCAUUAGCUAGUUGGUGAGGUAACGGCUCACCAAGGCGACGAUGCGUAGCCGACUUGAGAGGGUGAUCGGCCACACUGGGACUGAGACACGGCCCAGACUCCUACGGGAGGCAGCAGUAGGGAAUCUUCCGCAAUGGACGAAAGUCUGACGGAGCAACGCCGCGUGAGUGAAGAAGGUUUUCGGAUCGUAAAACUCUGUUGUUAGGGAAGAACACGUACGAGAGUAACUGUUCGUACCUUGACGGUACCUAACCAGAAAGCCACGGCUAACUUCGUGCCAGCAGCCGCGGUAAUACGUAGGUGGCAAGCGUUGUCCGGAAUUAUUGGGCGUAAAGCGCGCGCAGGUGGUUCCUUAAGUUUGAUGUGAAAGCCCCCGGCUCAACCGGGGAGGGUCAUUGGAAACUGGGGAACUUGAGUGCAGGAGAGGAAAGUGGAAUUCCACGUGUAGCGGUGAAAUGCGUAGAUAUGUGGAGGAACACCAGUGGCGAAGGCGACUUUCUGGCCUGUAACUGACACUGAGGCGCGAAAGCGUGGGGAGCAAACAGGAUUAGA
rnacentral:rRNA from 1 species